rnacentral:rRNA from 1 species
GACGAACGCUGGCGGCGUGCUUAACACAUGCAAGUCGAACGGUGAAGCGCCUUCCUUUUUGGUGGGUGUGGAUGAGUGGCGAACGGGUGAGUAACACGUGAGUAACCUGCCCCCUUCUUCUGGAUAACCGCAUGAAAGUGUGGCUAAUACGGGAUAUUCUGGGUCUGUCGCAUGAUGGGUCUGGGAAAGAUAUUGUUUCGGUGGGGGAUGGGCUCGCGGCCUAUCAGCUUGUUGGUGGGGUGAUGGCCUACCAAGGCGGUGACGGGUAGCCGGCCUGAGAGGGGGGAGGGUCACCCGGGGACUGGGACACGGCCCCGCCCCCUACGGGGGGCAGCGGUGGGGAAAUUUGCAAAAGGGGGCAAAGCCUGACGCGGCGCCGCCGGUGGAGGGAGGGAGGCCUUCGGGUUGGGAACCUCUUUGCCCAGUGAAGCAGGCCUGCCUUGUUUGUGGGGGGGUUGGCGGUAGCUGGAUAAGAAGCCCCGGCAAACUACGU